rnacentral:lncRNA from 1 species
GUGUCACAAUGUCUCCUGUUAAGUUGUCAGGAUUGGGGCACCAACGUGGUUGCCAUAGUCACUCUUAGCAGUGGCCUAUGGUUGCUGGCCUGAGAGCAUAGUUCUAAGUUCCCAGGAUAAUUAACAAAAUAGUAAUGAAAUAGGCUAUUCUGACUGUCAUCUUUUUUUGAACUAAAUUUCUGAUGAGUAUGAAGAGAUUUUUAGCCUUAAAUUGUUUGUGAUAAUUAGGGUAACACUAUCUUAAAUAUUUGAAGUGAGUGAAAUGUCCUUCUAUGAUGUAACAUUUGCAAGUGUGGCAUUUAGUCACCAAUGAAGUAUCUCUCAAAGUAAGUUACAUUAGGCAAUCAUUAUUGCUGUUUUAUAUAUAUUAGAAAGAAACCCUUUUAUGAAGCAGAAUUUGGUCUCUUUAAAUUGUUUUUCCCUGGUUGCCAGCGGAAGAGAAAAUGAGAGGGGGCUCAAACAAGAAAAGCAUGAUGAUAAAACUGACAACGCAAGGAUGCUAACUGGCUGACGACCAUGCCAGCAGAGAAAAGAUAGAAGCUAAUUAAAGAAACUAUUAUGAUCACCAUUCUGCAUGGAUUCCAGGACAGAAGGAAAGGCAAACAGUUCUGCGAGUGCAGUGACUAACAGCUGUUCACACCAGAUCUCAGUUUGGGAGAAAAUAACAAGUGGAGGGGCCUGUGGAGAACCGGCAUCCAUACCAUCUAGAGAGGGUAGCUGUUACUCAGCUCAGGUGAGCCCAGUCUUACUCCAUUUUCUGACGUUUAAAGAGAAGCCCCAAAUCUGGAUUUUUUUUAAGUUAAAUCUCCAGAUUUUUAAAUAUCAGCUGAAAAUUUCAGAAGUCAGAACGUGGAGGAGGAAAAAUAAAACAAAUUUGCCUGUGAAAUCUCGUCCAUAGCCUUCAAUGUUGGGUUAAGUUGCAUGCAUUUAGAUCCAUCUCUAAUGCCAGCCAGUAAGUUAGGAAGAAUCCUGCGUGUGCCUCCUAGAGGGCUAGGUGCUGUGAGGAGAGAGAAAAGUUUUUUAUUCUUUUUCAGGAAUUUGAGCCUCAUGCAUGAAGACUUUUUUCCUUUAACUUUUUAUUUUGAAAUAAUUUCCUAUCUACAGAAAAGUUGAAAAAGUAGUACAAAGAUUUCCCACAUACUACUCACCCAGAUUCUCUGAAUAUGGGCAAUACUACACCAUACUUACUUUCUUGUUCUCUUUGUCUUGUUCUUUCUCUGUCUCUUUCUCUUUCUAUGUAUAUGUGUGAAGUUGAAGAAUCAGUGUCCUUUUACUUCUAAAUGGUUUAAUGUAUUUCUUAAAAACAAGAAUAUCCUCUUACGUACCACAGUGUAAUGUUCAAAUCAGGAAAUUAACUUUAAUACAAUUAUCUGAUCCAUGAAGAUUAUUCAAAUUUCAUGCCUCAAUUUCUUCAGAGCAAAAAAACCCAAACAAUUUCAAGUCCAGGAUCCAACUGAGUGUCACGUGUUGCAUUCAGGGGUCAUGCCCUUUAGUGACCCUUUUUGGCGGGGGUGGGGUAGGGUGAGGGAACAUUUUGUCUUCUACAAGAAAAGACAAGUCUCUUUUGUCGUUUGUAACAUUACCAUUUUAGAAGAGUACAG